rnacentral:lncRNA from 1 species
GCAACUAAUAAAGCCAGCGCAGCCGACCUGCCAACAGGUGUGCAAAGACCUUGAUGAAGUCACAAGCAAGGAAGAAGUCCUUUAUGCUCUACAGAGAGAAUUGGGAAACGUGAACUGACGUCUCGACUACGGACACACUGCAAAAACCUGCACAAAUGAGGACAGGUUCAGACUCUGCAGGAGAUGUGGCGAAGGGGAGCACCAGGCAAAGGACUGCAAUAACAAACCAAAAUGUUUGAUCUGUUUGAAAUCCAGUACAAAAGAAAUUCAGCACUUUACUGGAAGCGUCAAUUGCCCUAUAUACAAGAAAGCAGCUCGACAUGUCACAUGAGGUUCUUACAACUGAACGCAAACCAUUGCCAAGCGGCACACGACUUAUUAAAACAGUCAGUUGCCGCAAAUCAAAUUGGUGUGUUUCUACUAAGCGAACCAUACAAAAUCGGACAAGGCGUAACCUGGAUAAGUGACACUCGAAAGAAAGCGGCUAUAUGGAAAUGUAAUCCCAACUUUCCGCAGCUGGAAUCGCCUUUCUCUUCAGAUGGUUUUGUUCGUGCAACUAUCAAUAAUAUUAAUAUAUACAGCACUACUUACCUCCUUGCCUAGCGACGAAGAAUACAGGCGUAUUAUCGACAACCUAGUGGUCGAUGCCAGAUGCAAAACCAAAGUGAUAAUAGCUGGUGAUUUUAAUGCCUGGGCUAUCGCAUGGGGAUACAAAAGAACCAACAGCAGAGGAAAAACCUUACUAUAAGCCUUUGCUCUCUUGAUCUGGAGGUUUUAAAUGUAGGCAAUCAAUGCACAUUUAACAAAGGUGGCCGACAAUCGGUGAUUGAUUUAACAUUUGUUAAUUCGCAGAUCUCACUGAAAAAUCAGCGACUAUUACACUUUUAGCCAUCACUACGCAACUACAUAUAUUCGAGAUAAAUACUACACACGCAUGGCAGGGUUUAUCGACCCAAAAAAAAGGAACUGGCGACUCAAAACAUUCGACCCAGACCUCUUUGAAGAAGCCUUAAGACUAACUACCCUUCCCGACAAUCUGUUGUCGGCUUACAAAGCUGCUCGCUCGAUUAUGAGUUGUGUUAAGAGCGCAUGCGACGCUUCAAUGUCCAAGGUAUCACGACGCAAACACCGCCCCCCAGUAUAUUGGUGGUGCGGGACAAUCGCAAGAUUACGUAAGUAAUGCCAGCACGCAAGACGCUUGUACCAAAGAUCACGUGGUACAUCUGAAUACACCACCGUCCAAAAACACUUCAAGAACAAAGGAAACUUGCUAAACAGGCAAUUAAAAAAAGUAAACAGGAAUGUUUUCUUAAACUGUGCGAAGAUGUUGAAAAUAACGCUUGGGGACUCGCUUGUAAAACGGUAAUGGGAAAACUCCGCACUGCCGGACAAAUGCCAAUCUCCACCUCAAUAAUUGAGAGAAUAGUUUCGGUACUUUUCCCUACCCGACCCCCACUACAUCACGAGAUAGUGAGAGUUCCACAAAUCCAGGAUAUAUCGGCUGUUUCGAAUGAAGAAGUCCGAGAAGCAUGCAAACGAUUAAACCCAUCCAAAGCCCCCGGACCAGAUGGAAUUCCGAAUGUAGCACUAAAAACGACGAUUGCCAGAAACAUAGACCCUUAUCGAACAAUGUAUAAUAUAUGCAUCCAAGAAGGCCGCUUUCCCACCAUUUGAAAAAGGCAAUAUCUGAUAUUACUGCCGAAACCUAAUAAACCAAUGACAGAACCGUCCCACUUUCGGACCCUCUACAUGUUAGACUCCGCUGGAAAGGUUCUGGAGCGGAUCCAACAGCUAAAAAAGGCAAUUGAAGAUGCCGGUGGACUAUCCCCCAACCAAUUCGGAUUCAGGAAGGCAAGAUCCACAACUGCAGCGGUGACCCUAGUAAAGACCCUGGCUGAACAGGCUAUAAGUGGGAAGAGAUGGAAAGGAGGCAGAAUACAGUACUGUAUGGUUGUAACGCUGGAUGUAAAGAAUGCCUUUAACUCGGGAUCCUGGCAUAGUAUAUUGAGUGCACUAAAAAGCUUCUCUGUGCCUCUAUACUUUUACAACGUUAUAGUAAGCUACUUAUUUCGAGGAAAAAACUUUGAGCUACAACACCAACGGAGGCUCCAAAAAAUAUAAAGUCACCGGUGGUGUACACCAGGGAUCUGUACUUGGGCAUCAUGUUCGAUGGAGUACUGCGACUGAAGGUACCUAAAGACGUACACAUCAUUGGGUUCGCAGAUGAUAUCGCCGUGGUGGUUAUAUCGAAGCACAUACACGAUAUAGUUACGAUUACCAACAGGACAAUAGCAUUAAUAAGCGAUUGGCUUGAAACUAACGGACUCAACCUAACGGAGAGCAAGACCGAGGCGGUACUCAUUACUGGCAGAAAAGUUCGGGAACUUACUACGUUCAGUAUAAAGGGGGUAAGCAUCACUACACAACCCGCAAUUAAAUACUUGGGAAUUAUUCUUCAUGCUAGGAUGUCCUUUAAGGAACAUUUAGCGUACACAUGCGGAAAAGCGACAAAAGUGUGCAUAGCCUUGACCCGGUUAAUGCUAAAAACCCGCUGAUCAAAGCAAAAUAGAAGACGACUAUUAGCUGGUGUAUUACAGUCAGUCGCGCUGUACGGCGCCCAGAUAUGGGGAAAAGCCCUUUUUUCUAUAUAUGCCACUUGCGCGCUGAGAGUAUGCUCUGCGUUCCGCACAGUAUCGGAAGAUGCUGCCCUAAUAGUUUCGGACCUACACAAUUUAGACCUCAUGGCCAAAGAAAUUCAAUAUCUUACAAAUGACAGGUUACCGCAUAAUACGCCAAAAGAAUUUGCAAGGGAAGAGACGGUGAAUCACUGGCAAAAGCGCUAGGAAAAAAGCGAAAACGAGCGGUAGACAUUUCGACUGAUCCUCAACGUUGAACCAUGGGAAGGCGCAACAGCACGUAAAUUGAAAGAUAUAAAAUGCCGAAAACAACCAGCAGUUGGAGAAAGUGUAUUGUUGGCUGUAACGAGGGAGGAAUAACAUUUUGUUUUCCAAACAGUGGAACGGACCUCGAACGGCGAGUG